UACGUAGGGGGCAAGCGUUGUCCGGAUUUAUUGGGCGUAAAGAGCGUGUAGGCGGCCAGACAGGUCCGUUGUGAAAACUGGAGGCUUAACCUUCAGACGUCGAUGGAAACCGUCUGGCUAGAGUCCGGAAGAGGAGAGUGGAAUUCCUGGUGUAGCGGUGAAAUGCGCAGAUAUCAGGAAGAACACCCGUGGCGAAGGCGGCUCUCUGGGACGGUACUGACGCUGAGACGCGAAAGCGUGGGGAGCGAACAGG
rnacentral:rRNA from 1 species